rnacentral:misc_RNA from 1 species
CAACCCUUCGGCCCCGGCCGGUUUUGAGCUCGGUCAGCCCGGUGGGCCCCGGCUUUAAAGUUGCGCGCAUUGCGGGUCAGGACCCCUCGAGAACUCGGUAAUGUUUCUGCGUCCGAGAGGCGGUUCGGGCACCCAGCCUUAACGAACUCAUCAAG